rnacentral:rRNA from 1 species
UACAGAGGUCCCAAGCGUUGUUCGGAUUCACUGGGCGUAAAGGGUGCGUAGGUGGUGAGGUAAGUCGGAUGUGAAAGCUCCGAGCUCAACUCGGAAAUGGCAUUGGAAACUACCUUGCUCGAGGGUUUGAGGGGGGGACUGGAAUACUUGGUGUAGCAGUGAAAUGCGUAGAUAUCAAGUAGAACACCAGUGGCGAAGGCGAGUCCCUGGAAAACUCCUGACACUGAGGCACGAAAGCUAGGGGAGCAAACAGG